rnacentral:rRNA from 1 species
UGGGGAAUAUUGCACAAUGGGGGAAACCCUGAUGCAGCGACGCCGCGUGAGCGAAGAAGGCUUUCGAAUCGUAAAGCUCUGUCCUAGGAGAAGAUAAUGACGGUAUCAUAGGAGGAAGCCCCGGCUAAAUACGUGCCAGCAGCCGCGGUAAUACGCAUGGGGCGAGCGUUGUCCGGAAUUAUUGGGCGUAAAGGGUACGUAGGCGGUCUAUUAAGUCAGGUGUGAAAGCGUGAGGCUUAACCUCAUUAAGCACUUGAAACUGAUAGACUUGAGUGAAGGAGAGGAAAGUGGAAUUCCUAGUGUAGCGGUGAAAUGCGUAGAUAUUAGGAGGAAUACCGGUGGCGAAGGCGACUUUCUGGACUUUUACUGACGCUCAGGUACGAAAGCGUGGGGAGCAAACAGG